GACGAACGCUGGCGGCGUGCUUAACACAUGCAAGUCGAACGGAAAGGCCCUGCUUUUGUGGGGUGCUCGAGUGGCGAACGGGUGAGUAACACGUGAGUAACCUGCCCUUGACUUUGGGAUAACUUCAGGAAACUGGGGCUAAUACCGGAUAGGAGCUCCUGCUGCAUGGUGGGGGUGGGAAAGUUUCGGCGGUUGGGGAUGGACUCGCGGCUUAUCAGCUUGUUGGUGGGGUAGUGGCUUACCAAGGCUUUGACGGGUAGCCGGCCUGAGAGGGUGACCGGCCACAUUGGGACUGAGAUACGGCCCAGACUCCUACGGGAGGCAGCAGUGGGGAAUAUUGCACAAUGGGCGGAAGCCUGAUGCAGCAACGCCGCGUGCGGGAUGACGGCCUUCGGGUUGUAAACCGCUUUUGCCUGUGACGAAGCGUGAGUGACGGUAAUGGGUAAAGAAGCACCGGCUAACUACGUG
rnacentral:rRNA from 1 species